rnacentral:rRNA from 1 species
UACGUAGGGUGCGAGCGUUAAUCGGAUUUACUGGGCGUAAAGGGUGUGUAGGUGGCUGCCAUAGUCGGGCGUGAAAUCCCGGGGCUUAACCUCGGGUUUGCGUUCGAUACUUGGUGGCUGGAGUGCGGGAGAGGGAAGUGGAAUUCCCGGUGUAGCGGUGAAAUGCGUAGAUAUAGGAAGGAACACCAGUGGCGAAGGCGGCUACCUGGACCAACACUGACACUGAGGUGCGAAAGCGUGGGGAGCAAACAGG